rnacentral:rRNA from 7 species
GCCUACGGCCAUCCCACCCUGGUAACGCCCGAUCUCGUCUGAUCUCGGAAGCUAAGCAGGGUCGGGCCUGGUUAGUACUGGAUGGGAGACCUCCUGGGAAUACCGGGUGCUGUAGGCU